UUUUCAGCCGCCGCGGUAAGACAGAGGGGGCAAGCGUUGCUCGGAAUUACUGGGCGUAAAGGGCGCGUAGGCGGGAUGGCAAGUCGGUCGUGAAAUCCUUCGGCUCAACCGAAGAACGUCGAUCGAUACUGCUGUUCUUGAGGGUUGCAGAGGAGACUGGAAUUCCCGGUGUAGCGGUGAAAUGUGUAGAGAUCGGGAGGAACACCGGUGGCGAAGGCGGGUCUCUGGGCAAUUCCUGACGCUGAGGCGCGAAAGCGUGGGGAGCAAACGGGAUUAGAAACCCUGGUAGUCC
rnacentral:rRNA from 1 species